rnacentral:rRNA from 1 species
ACACGUAGGAGGCGAGCGUUAUUCGGAUUUACUGGGUGUAAAGCGCGUGCAGGCGGUUCGGUAAGUUGGAUGUGAAAGCUCCUGGCUUAACUGGGAGAGGUCGUUCAAUACUACCGGACUUGAGAGCGGUAGAGGGAGGUGGAAUUCCGGGUGUAGUGGUGAAAUGCGUAGAUAUCCGGAGGAACACCAGUGGCGAAAGCGGCCUCCUGGACCGCUUCUGACGCUCAGACGCGAAAGCUAGGGUAGCAAACGGGAUUAGAGACCCCGGUAGUCUUAGCAGUAAACGAUGUGAACUUGGCGUUGGUGGGUUUAAAUCCAUCAGUGCCGAAGCUAACGCGAUAAGUUCACCACCUGGGGACUACGGCCGCAAGGUUAAA